AUCCAGCUGAUGAUUCCCAAAUAGAAUGAAACGCGCAUCCUGGAU
rnacentral:hammerhead_ribozyme from 1 species